AAUAGAUACCCUGGUAGUCCACGCCCUAAACGAUGUCAACUAGCUGUUGGGGUCUUCGGACCUUGGUAGCGCAGCUAACGCGUGAAGUUGACCGCCUGGGGAGUACGGUCGCAAGAUUAAAACUCAAAGGAAUUGACGGGGACCCGCACAAGCGGUGGAUGAUGUGGAUUAAUUCGAUGCAACGCGAAAAACCUUACCUACCCUUGACAUGUCUGGAAUCCUGAAGAGAUUUGGGAGUGCUCGCAAGAGAACCGGAACACAGGUGCUGCAUGGCUGUCGUCAGCUCGUGUCGUGAGAUGUUGGGUUAAGUCCCGCAACGAGCGCAACCCUUGUCAUUAGUUGCUACGAAAGGGCACUCUAAUGAGACUGCCGGUGACAAACCGGAGGAAGGUGGGGAUGACGUCAAGUCCUCAUGGCCCUUAUGGGUAGGGCUUCACACGUCAUACAAUGGUCGGGACAGAGGGUCGCCAACCCGCGAGGGGAGCCAAUCCCAGAAACCCGAUCGUAGUCCGGAUCGCAGUCUGCAACUCGA
rnacentral:rRNA from 1 species